rnacentral:rRNA from 1 species
AACGCGAAGAACCUUACCUGGGCUCGAACGGCUUUGGAUCGACGGUGGAAACACUGUUUUCCCGCAAGGGACCGGAGUCGAGGUGCUGCAUGGCUGUCGUCAGCUCGUGUCGUGAGAUGUUGGGUUAAGUCCCGCAACGAGCGCAACCCUUGUCCUGUGUUGCCACUCCGUAAGGAAGCACUCUCAGGAGACCGCCAGCGAUAAGUUGGAGGAAGGUGGGGAUGAUGUCAAGUCAUCAUGGCCUUUAUGUCCAGGGCUACACACGUGCUACAAUGGCCGGUACAAAGCGCUGCAAACCCGCGAGGGGGAGCUAAUCGCAAAAAGCCGGCCUCAGUUCGGAUUGCAGGCUGCAACUCGCCUGCAUGAAGCUGGAAUCGCUAGUAAUGCCGUAUCAGAACGAUGGCGUGAAUACGUUCCCGGGCCUUGUA